CAGUCUUUAUACUCCCAGAUAAAUGCCUGGGUCUGGGAGAAGCUGUCAGGGUAUAUACAAGUUUGUGGACAAUAUGCAUAAUAUAUUGUUUAAUGCUUUUGUUGAUUUUCUUCCAAUAGGAAAGUUUAAAAUAUAGCUAAGCAGGUUUUGUCAGUUCCUGUAAGGAGGUGGCUCAAUGUUGCCCAGGUCACGUGACUAGGACUCAGUGAAAUAUGGAGGAAAUAUGGUUUUAUAUUAGGGGUUCAGAAGCUUAUUCAGAUUGAAUGAAUCUACAUUAACCAUCCUUUGCAGAGUCAGCAAGUAUGUGUAGUUGAAAUAGGGUGGGAAGGUGCUGAUAACAAGAGGAAUAGGAUCAACCUAAUUUUGGAGAUUUCAUUUGUUCUGAUUCUUAAAGGAAACUAAAGAUUCAAAGAGGUGGAUAUGAGAAACAAGUGCAUUCUAGGUCAGAGACAGUAUUGGAAACAUAAUUCGAUACAUGUAAGACACACCAUCUUGAAUCCAUCAAAAUAACAUGAGGAAUGGAAUUCUUAUAGUUUUGUCACAAAGCAGGGUGUGGACAAGUUUCUCCAACUGUUUGAUUCCAUCCAGAAAGGGUAACUCAAGCCGCCUGCUUCCAUUUGAGACUCAAUUCACAAGAAGUUGAUCAUUUGCCAUUACUCUACUCUCUCCAGUCAGUAUGAUUCCCUUCCUCCCACCAACCCUGGCCAAAGAAUUGGAAUGGAAAAUGUUGAUAGAUCAUGUGAAUGUGUUGUGUGCAUAAUUCCUGACCAAUAAUAAAACUUUCACAACUUAUUCA
rnacentral:lncRNA from 1 species